GAAAUUGAUGUCGUGGUUUUUAUCAUAUUGAUAUGAGAGAGUGGACAGUAGGACAAAAAGUUAAGUGUUCUUCAAUAUUGUAAGUGUAGAAUAAGUAGUUAUUUGCUGAUUUGUAGAUACUUAGUUUAUAGUGUAAACAGGGAUAGAUGACUGUUAGAAAGGUAGUUCAGUAGUUAAAAUGGAUGAAUAGUUAGGAAAAGCAGUUUUCAUUAGAGAUGUAGCAGUUGGUAUCUUGUGGUAGGAUAAGGAGGAUGAGAGAGAGGAAGAAACCGCCAUUACUGUGAUAGUGUGAGCCGGGGUAAGCUUGGUGCUACCUCUUUUUUUUUGUUGUUAUGUUCUUUGAAAUAAGAGUAUUGAGAGUUUUU
rnacentral:lncRNA from 1 species